CUUGCCCCUAGAAACACUGCAGGUGGCUGCUGUGUUACAUGCCAGUAGGUAGUAAAGAAGGGAGAAGCUAUGUCUAAGCUCAGUGUUCUGACUUAUGAACAACUGAACGAUUAGUAGCCUAAUACU
ensembl:snoRNA LOC120094915 small nucleolar RNA SNORA17